rnacentral:rRNA from 1 species
UGGGGAAUAUUGGACAAUGGGGGCAACCCUGAUCCAGCAAUGCCGCGUGUGUGAAGAAGGCCUUCGGGUUGUAAAGCACUUUUAUCCGGAACGAAACGCGCAGGGUGAAUAUCCUUGCGAACUGACGGUACCGGAGGAAUAAGCACCGGCUAACUUCGUGCCAGCAGCCGCGGUAAUACGAAGGGUGCAAGCGUUACUCGGAAUUACUGGGCGUAAAGGGUGCGUAGGUGGUUGUUUAAGUCUGUUGUGAAAGCCCCGGGCUCAACCUGGGAAUGGCAAUGGAUACUGGACAGCUAGAGUGCGGUAGAGGGUAGUGGAAUUCCCGGUGUAGCAGUGAAAUGCGUAGAGAUCGGGAGGAACACCAGUGGCGAAGGCGGCUACCUGGACCAGCACUGACACUGAAGCACGAAAGCGUGGGGAGCAAACAG